rnacentral:rRNA from 1 species
AACGUAGGAGACGAGCGUUAUCCGGAUUUACUGGGCGUAAAGCGCGUGCAGGCGGCAUGGCAAGUUGGAUGUGAAAGCUCCCGGCUUAACUGGGAGAGGUCGUUCAAUACUGCCAGGCUUGAGAGUGGUAGAGGGAAGCGGAAUUCCGGGUGUAGUGGUGAAAUGCGUAGAUAUCCGGAGGAACACCAGUGGCGAAAGCGGCUUCCUGGCCCAUUUCUGACGCUCAGACGCGAAAGCUAGGGUAG